UGUUCAUCUUCCGAUCUCGUGUUCACUUGUUUUUACGAAUACAUGGUGGACGGUUCGUACAGAUUUUGUAAGUGAUCGACGAUAUUAUUUGUGCAUAGUGGAGAGUGAAGAAAAAACUUGGCUAUUAUUAUAAUAGCUUAUUCACGUUGAAUUGAGGAAUAAUCCUCGUGCCACGUGUCUACAUAACCUUUAUUUUAACCGCGGAAUAUUGGAUAUUUCCCGGUUUAAUACGACGAUUAGUGAGAAAGAGGAUAAAUAUAAAAAGUCUCUGCUCAUCAAUAUCAGCGAUAGUUAUAUAGAAAAUCGAGGAAUAAUCCUCGUACCACGUGUCUACAUAACCUUUAUUUUAACCGCGGAAUAUUGGAUUUUUCCCGGUUUAAUACGACGAUUAGUGAGAAAAAGGAUAAAUACAAAAAGUCUCUGCUCAUCAAUAUCAGCGAUAGUUAUAUAGAAAAUCGAGGAAAUAUUCUCGUGCCCCGUGUGUGCAUAACCUUGACCUUAACAGAUCGCGGAAUAUUGAAGUUUUCCCGGUUUAAUACGACGAUUAGUGAGAAAGAGGAUAUAUAUAAGAGUGUCUCUGCUCAUCGAUAUCAACGAUUGUUAUACAGAAA